rnacentral:siRNA from 1 species
AUGAGUCUUGUUCGAGUGAUUAUG